UACGUAGGGUGCAGGCGUUAAUCGGAAUUACUGGGCGUAAAGCGUGCGCAGGCGGUUUGCUAAGACAGGUGUGAAAUCCCCGGGCUUAACCUGGGAACUGCGCUUGUUACUGGCAGGCUUGAGUGUGGCAGAAGGGGGUGGAAUUCCACGUGUAGCAGUGAAAUGCGUAGAUAUGCGGAGGAACACCGAUGGCGAAGGCAAUCCCCUGGGCCUGCACUGACGCUCAUGCACGAAAGCGUGGGGAGCAAACAGG
rnacentral:rRNA from 1 species